UCUUGUUGAGUUAAAAAAAAAUCUUUCACAUAAUCCGAUGAUUCAAAAAUAAUAUUCUUCAAUGAAAAAAAUAUUACAUCCUUGCAAUAUUGGCUUGGCCACAACUAAAUGAAGGGGUUUCAGCUUAUACCCUUUAAUUAAAUAAAUGUGCUAAAUUGAAAUUAAUAAUAGCAAUUGUAUAUCUAAAGUUUUAUUAUUUAUUUGAUGUCCAUUUAUUCAACUUGACUUUUCAAACAAAUAUUCUUCAAGAACAAAAAAGAAACAACUGUUUCUUAAUAUUGACUUAUUGUGUGAUGUUUUUUUCUCCAAAGUGUAUGCUUAUUUUAUUAUAUAUGUAAGUAAACUUUUAUUUGAUUUUAUAAACUCUUUUUAGUUAUUUGGAUAAACAUAGAUGUGUGCCCUAUAUAAGUAUUUCAUUUUAUUCAAAUCUAGUAUCAGUGUUUCAAAGAACUAUACUCAUAAGAUUUUCAAUGUGAAAGAGUUUUCUAGUUAGAUGGAGUUAUUUUUUUUCUUUUUUUAGCUAGAGGCAAAGUAGUAUUUAAAUAAUUAUAAAAAAGUAACAAAAGU
rnacentral:lncRNA from 1 species